AGUGAGAGAUUUCUUGUUACAUAUAUAUGAGUUCAGGAACUUUGGAAAGCAAUGAGUCGUGUAGUAAGUGUGUCCUAUUUGGAUGCUAUUUUUUGGUAACACUUGACCAUAGAAAGAAAAAUCGUCACUUGACCAUAGAAAGAAAACUCGUUUGGUGAUUUCUUUGAUAGAAAGGUCUAUGAUGAAUAUCUUUUUAUCAAUUUGGCUUAAGAAGUAGUUCUGGGCUGCUGCGUUUUCUGAUUGCUAAUAUAAUGUUGCUUCUGCUGCACUGAUUUGUGUUAUCGACCUAUCUGGAUUUUUUGUGUUCGGAUUUC